UAAAGAGUUCUAUAACUCCCAAACCCAUGUGAACAUACCUAACGUUGCCUCGGCAGGUCGCACCUACCUUGUAGCACCUUACCCUGUAAGGCCUACCCGGGAGGUGCGGGUAAGCCUGCCGGCGGCCCACCAAACUCUGUUUGAUAUUGAAUUCUGAACCUAUAACUAAAUAAGUUAAAACUUUCAACAACGGAUCUCUUGGUUCUGGCAUCGAUGAAGAACGCAGCGAAAUGCGAUAAGUAAUGUGAAUUGCAGAAUUCAGUGAAUCAUCGAAUCUUUGAACGCAUAUUGCGCCCAUUAGUAUUCUAGUGGGCAGGACCGUUCGAGCGUCAUUUCAACCCUUAAGCCUUCGUUGCUUAGUGUUGGGAGCCUACGGCAACGUAGCUCCUCAAAGUUAGUGGCGGAGUUGGUUCACACUCUAGACGUAGUAAUUUUUUAUCUCGCCUAUUAGUUGAACUAAUACCCUGCCGUAAAACCCCCAAUUUAUCAAGGUUGACCUCGAAUCGGUUCAGACAAACUCGCUAAAUUGAAGCAUCUUAGUCAGCGAAGGAAAAGAAACCAACAGGGAUUGCCCUAGUAACGGCGAGUGAAGCGGCAACAGCUCAAAUU
rnacentral:rRNA from 1 species